rnacentral:snRNA from 1 species
GUGCUUGCGUUGGUAGCACAUAUACUAAAAUUGGAAUGAUACAGAGAAGAUCAGCAUGACCCUGCGCAAGGAUGACAUGCAAAUUCAUGAAGCACUCCAUAUUUUU